GAUGAACGCUGGCGGCGUGCCUAAUACAUGCAAGUCGAGCGAACGGACGAGAAGCUUGCUUCUCUGAUGUUAGCGGCGGACGGGUGAGUAACACGUGGAUAACCUACCUAUAAGACUGGGAUAACUUCGGGAAAACGUAGCUAAUACCGGAUAAUAUUUUGAACCGCAUGGUUCAAAAGUGAAAGACGGUCUUGCUGUCACUUAUAGAUGGAUCCGCGCUGCAUUAGCUAGUUGGUAAGGUAACGGCUUACCAAGGCAACGAUGCAUAGCCGACCUGAGAGGGUGAUCGGCCACACUGGAACUGAGACACGGCCCAGACUCCUACGGGAGGCAGCAGUAGGGAAUCUUCCGCAAUGGGCGAAAGCCUGACGGAGCAACGCCGCGUGAGUGAUGAAGGUCUUCGGAUCGUAAAACUCUGUUAUUAGGGAAGAACAUAUGUGUAAGUAACUGUGCACAGCUUGACGGUACCUAAUCAGAAAGCCACGGCUAACUACGUG
rnacentral:rRNA from 1 species